AUUGAACGCUGGCGGCAGGCCUAACACAUGCAAGUCGAGCGGAUGAAGGGAGCUUGCUCCUGGAUUCAGCGGCGGACGGGUGAGUAAUGCCUAGGAAUCUGCCUGGUAGUGGGGGAUAACGCCCGGAAACGGGCGCUAAUACCGCAUACGUCCUGAGGGAGAAAGUGGGGGAUCUUCGGACCUCACGCUAUCAGAUGAGCCUAGGUCGGAUUAGCUAGUUGGUGGGGUAAAGGCCUACCAAGGCGACGAUCCGUAACUGGUCUGAGAGGAUGAUCAGUCACACUGGAACUGAGACACGGUCCAGACUCCUACGGGAGGCAGCAGUGGGGAAUAUUGGACAAUGGGCGAAAGCCUGAUCCAGCCAUGCCGCGUGUGUGAAGAAGGUCUUCGGAUUGUAAAGCACUUUAAGUUGGGAGGAAGGGCAGUAAGUUAAUACCUUGCUGUUUCGACGUUACCAACAGAAUAAGCACCGGCUAACUUCGUG
rnacentral:rRNA from 1 species